UACGGGGGGGGCAAGCGUUGUUCGGAAUUACUGGGCGUAAAGGGCGCGUAGGCGGUCAGACCAAGUCGAAUGUUAAAUUCCAGGGCUUAACUUUGGACGGUCGUUCGAUACUGGUCGGCUAGAGUGUGGAAGAGGAUGCUGGAAUUCCCGGUGUAGCGGUGAAAUGCUUAGAUAUCGUCAAGAACACCGAUAGCGAAGGCAGCUUACUGGGCUGUAACUGACGCUGAGGCACGAAAGUGUGGGGAUCAAACAGG
rnacentral:rRNA from 1 species